UGAAAGAUUUUGGCAAACAACUAUUUUUCAUUGCUCGGCUUCAAGGGAAAAUACGAAGAGGGCUCCUCCCACCCCACUGAAGGGUAAGGGAAAUUAGAUCUGAAUGCAGAGAGGCCAGGCCAAAUAGACUGUUGCCUCACCUGCCUCAUUAAGGGAAAAUGGGAUUGUUUUCCCAGUGGAGUGCACUAUCUUGCAGGGACUGCAGGGGUGUGGCUAGGAGUAACGGAAUUAAUUAACAUAAAGGGCAAUUUAGAUGACUAUCAGAAACAUCUUCUGGACAGCGAGCCGUGUUAGGCUGGGCAUAAUCUCCCAUGGGAAAUGGCAAAAGCCCCAUCACUUGGGACAUUUAAAACUACACUGGGGACAACACUAAACAAAAAUGGUACAACAGGACAACCCUGCACUAGCAGGAGAUGGAUUUGAUGAUAAGCAGGUUCUAUAGGAUCAAGGAAUCUGGCCAUUGAAGGAUUGUCAAUCUGGCAAGGGACUAUGGGAUCAAGUGGCUGUGGGAUACAGCCACACCAGUGCAAUUUCUCUCUCUGCAGAAGCCCCUGGCAGGCAAAACUCCAGAGAUCGGCACAAUCCAGCAUAUUUCCUCUGUCUGGGGAACACUGGAUUCACUGAUCUGCCCCCACCCACGUGCUUGCCCUCUGUACAGGAGCCCUGUGGUCUUUGGAGAUCUGGCCUUGAUAAUGCUUUCAGCUGCAAUGGGCUGUAGAGAAGCUAAGGAAAAAUGAAGAAAAAAAUCUGCAGAUGAAAGUCUGAGGCUGUGUUUUCCUUUCCAAAGCACUGCCACAUUCCUAUAAGCCUGUGGCUUCCUGCAUCCUGCUGGAGUUUUUCUUUCCCUUCUUUUUUUCUUAAAUCUUUUCUGUGAUAUCUUAAGAGGAAAAUGUCCAGUACUAACAGGGGGCCUUUUGUUCUCUUUAUUUCUAAGUGGACUUUAACCCAGUUACUACAGACUGAGUCACUGUAUAAACAAAUAAAAUAAAACUUCUUCUGUUAUGUCCCUCUGGACAGGUCGGGGA